UUGUAAUCUCGAGAAGUAUUUUCCGCGCCGGACCGCAUACAAGUCUGUUGGAAUACAGCGUCAUAGUGGUGAGAACCCCGUAACUGAUGCGGAUGCCCGGUGCUUUGUGAUAUACUUUCGAAGAGUCGAGUUGUUUGGGAAUGCAGCUCAAAUUGGGUGGUAAAUUCCAUCUAAAGCUAAAUAUUGGAGCAAGACCGAUAGCGAACAAGUACCGUGAGGGAAAGAUGAAAAGCACUUUGGAAAGAGAGUUAACAGUACGUGAAAUUGUUGGAAGGGAAACGCUUGAAGUCAGACUUGCUAUUCGGAGUUCAGCCGCAAGGUGUAUUCUUCGAUUCGCAGGCCAGCAUCAGUUUUCGGGGGUGGAAAAUCGCGGUUUGAAGGUAGCAACUUCGGUUGUGUUAUAGCUUUCCGCUGGAUUCAUCCUUGGGGACUGAGGAACG
rnacentral:rRNA from 1 species